rnacentral:lncRNA from 1 species
UUGUUUUUAUAAGUUUCUCCUCUCCCCUUUCAGCCAAAAUUCAUAUACGGAUGUGUUUCGAUCAGAAAGGUGCAUACGCAGAUGUUUAUAAGUUUAAACUGUAUGGAGGUAAGCCAAAUCAUUCGGUUGAUACUCCCAGUCUCACAGCUCUCUGCAUUCUACCAUAACCCAAUGACCAAAACCCCAAAUCGCAUCUCACUCUUUGUCUGCCCUAACCCAAAACUCCAAAUCUCGUCUCCAUCUCCGGCCUCUCCCGUCUCCGCCAUCACUCCACUGACUGCUGGUACGUCAAUUAUUUUUGUUUUUUGUUCUUCAUUCCACUAAUUAAGGUUAGGGUUUUAAAAUAGGCAUGAAUUGAACUGCAAGAAGAAUCUAUUGCUCAUGAAUUGCCGAAUUGGACUAAAGAAAAAAACCUAAAUUAAAAAUAUCUAAUAGAUUGUAAUUAACUUUUUUUAGUUUACUUUUUAGGUAUGUUUUGAUUUCUUGACAUGAGAUGGACAUAUUGCACUUUACUUUUGUGGAAGGUUCAUGUUCUGCUUAGCAUCUGAGUGUCUGAUACUGGGAUAAAUUUGUUACUUUGUUGUUCCUUAAAAUGGAUUUAGGAUGAUGAAGACUUAGUAUAUUAUAUUUUCUAGGAUCAAUUACAAGUAAGUAGGAACAGUCUUGAGCUUAUGUUUAGGAUUAAGUUGAGAAUGGCACAUAAUUUGGCGUAUGAAAGUUUUAAAAUCUUCAUAAGAUCUCUGUUCUGAAAACCUACCGGCUCGUUGUCUUGCAGCCUCUGUAGCGAUUCAGAAAUUUCAGAUAAAUAAAAUAAGAAUUUAAUAAAAUAUCUUAUUUUAUUAUGUAUUCUAUUAUACUGCAUAUAUUAUUGUGUGCAGUGGGAUAUGUGAGUAUGUGUGAGAUGUGAAUGCGAUUUUUUGAAAUAAGUCCCUUUUUCUCUUUCCAUCUUGGAGAGUCCGUGGAUUAAAAAAGAAAGACUAGUACUUCAAAGUGGAAGAUGUCGGUUAUAUUUAUGAUUCCUUUCCUUACAUAUAAACAAAACAAAUUAUGAGUAAUUAUAUUCACUGUAACAGGCAUCUAGGAAUCUUGGCUUCCCAAUCCUCUAUGGUGAUGGAUCACGUCCCUCAGUUUUGCAGUCUCCUAUUUUCUUUUUUAAGAUUUUCUCGGUACAACCUGGAGAGUUCUGUCGAAAGGUCAAUCUCUGUGAACAAGUGGUUUUAAUUUCUCAGCAUCUCAGGAAAAAUAGCUGUGAGUUUUGCCAGCAAACCGUUAGAGAAGCUUUGUUGAAGUUAAAAGCUUUGUUGAAGGUAUAUUCUUGCAUCAACAUCUGGUCAUAGGAAUUCUACUUGUAAAUAAUUCCCCUGCAAAUUAUAUUGCCACUGCUUUGACUAUAAAUUGGUAAGUUGUAUACGUAGCUUUAAGCUUGUAAUUUAGGGAUAGUUCUAAUUUCAUCUGCUUAUAAAUCUUCCAUUGUUCAGAAAUCUUUUAAACCCCACUCAAUCAUUGAGGUGGUUUUUCUGUGUAAGGGGUCCACUUGAUUAUCUUUUUCUGCAUAUAAAACUAUGCUGGUCAAUAUGCAACCUGUUGCUUGUUCAUUGGAUGAUUGAAUUACCUAUUAAAUGGUCAAUUUCUUCCAUUUGAAAACUUAUUUAUAGCAUGAAGUCCUACUUGAAAUUUAUGAGUCAUGUGAUGUAUUUUUUUGAGUUGCUUACAUAUCAAAGUUUGCUUGCAUAUCAAAGUCCUACUUCAUCAGGGACUAUUCUUGUAGGACCCAAUUAUGAAGGGGAGGAACUUAUCUCGCUGACCUGGGUAUGUUCUGCCCUUACCACUUAAAAAUUCCCAAGUUAUCAAUAAAUGUGUCUUUCCAAUGUCUAUUGCAACAUGUUGAAUUCUUGGUAAAUAAAUAUAUGAUGACUGUGAUUAUAACUAGCAUCUUUGGGGCAUAUACUGUAUGGAAAUUUGUCGUCUCAAGAAAAGUUUUUCAACAUUGACUAAUAGCCUCAACUUUUCCAUAAUUGUUGUCCUUUCUAUAUAGAAAUCUAAACAUUGUUAUUUAAGAUUGUGUGAUGGUAUUUAAGAUUGUGUGAUGCUUGUGGUUGUUGAAUGUGACUGAAUUCUGACUUGAUGUCAACAUAUAAUAAUAAUCUACAAGUCUUGUAACAGAAAAUAUGUUUACCACUAUGCUUACUGAAAUUAAUUCAUGAAAUGACCGAUUAAGAUUCCAAUUUUUUCUUGUAACAGAGCAAUCAUAUAGUCGCACUAAAGAUUCUUUUUCUAUUUGGAUUUGUAGCAAAUGAUAUGGUGAUUGUCUAUUUGUCUUUUUCUGCUUAUGAGCAAUAUGGUGUACAUUAAGUACCACGUAGCAACUCUAUUGUCUUUGUGUAUUGAUUUUGGCAUUAAGUGCCGUUGGUGACCUAUUUGUUUCAUUUUUCUGACAUUGUUAUUAUUUUUAAAUAUGUGCAGGAAGACUGCUUCUACGACCUGCCUUACAAUACUGGGUAUCAAAUUUCUGUGCUACGUUUACAGAAGACAAGGGACGAAAUUAUGAAGUGUACUCUCUCUAUAUAUGUAGAUAUAUACUUUGAUUGAAGAACUGUGGUAGCUUUAGAUGGUUAAUUGUAAAGAUAAUGAAUGAUUAUGUAGUGGAUGAUUUUAUUAAGUUAAUAAUAUUUUAGUUUUUUAUAUUUUUGCCA